rnacentral:lncRNA from 1 species
CCGACGACCCUUCUUUUGAAUAUUCGAGACGGAGGAGUUGAUCAAAGGAAGCUGAUUGCAGGACGGUGAAGAGAAUGUCUUGGUGGUUUGGUGGUGUAAAGUUGGGAUGGUUUGGUGACCGGCCGCCACCGUGAGGCGAUUUCCGGCGGCAGCGUUAGGGUGGUUGUUGGGUGGUCAAGGCGGUCAAAAGGUGGAGAUGGGUAGGUGUAUUUUGUACGAGGAAGAUGAAGACUUUGUCUCUGUAUCUAUUCAUAUAUUUGGACAUAUUUAUUCAAUUUUGGGUGAGGGUUUCAUGGUCGUUGGAUGAUUGGAUGAUCGACGGAUGUGAUGGAUCUUCCUGGAACAGUGUCGUUUUGGGCAGGUUGCAUAUGGACUGGGUCAGGGACUGGUGUCUGGGCUGGAGCUGUAUAUAUUUACAGGGAAAAGGGUUUGGGCCACCCAGGUCUGGCCCAGUUGUGGCCAGCCUGGGUGGCUGUGUGUGUGUGUAUAUAUAUAUAUAUAUAUGUUUAUAUUUUGUUUUGUUUUUCUUUCUUCUCUUUUUUAUUAUUAUUUAAUUCCUAAUUUUAUUUUAUUUUUUUAAAGAAAUUCCUAAUUAACACAAACAAAAAAAGAACACAAUAAGUUAAACAAAAAUGAUUAAAGUGCCAGAAAUACUACUUGCAUAUUUUUUGAAUUUUAUAUUCGCAAAAAUUACCGUAAUUAACAAUUAUUUUAGCAAAAAUAUGAAACUAAAUCCUAAAUUAAAACACACGGGCACGCGCAUUUAAAUUCUAAAAUUAAAUCCUAAAACAAAUAUUAAGAAGAAAAUCCUAAACUUGAGAGUCCUAUAGGAAUCGUCUUAAUAGGGAAAAAUUCACAUAGUCACAAAAAUUAAUUGUUCAUUAAUAACAGUUAGGAUCACAAUGUCACUAGUUUUUGUUUUUUAAUCAUACAUGGGAAUGACGAGUUGUCCUUUUGUUCUUUAAGGAGUUGAUGUUUCUAAUUGUGAUUUUUUGAAAUUUUACAAUUCUUAAUUAUUCAAAUACAUGGAUAAUGCUGAAAUUUCUUUUAGAAGACUUGAAAAAUAAUUAGCAUCUUAACAAUGGAUAGAGAUGACGAUUUAGUUAGUACAAGUGAUAACCAAUUUUAAAUAGGUGUUCAGCCUAAGUCAUUUUAGUAACAGGCUGCUAGAGUUAAUUCUUUAGAAGAAAAAUUGUAGACGUAUUUUUAAAUAUUAACUCAUGUGUUCAUACUCAAACUUUGGAUAGAUAUACUUUAAAAAUAAAAGGAUCAUGUGUGCAUUCAGCGUCUUGAUACCUUUUAACUUUAUAAUAAUUAUGAUUUAUCCAUAUGUACAUUCCGUAUCUUGAUUUAACACUUAAUUAUUUCAAAUGAGUACCUCGUGUGCAUUUCGCAUCUUGGUGAAUACAAUUAAUUAAAAUAUGAUACUAAUUAAGCGGUAGUAAAUAAUCCAUAAUCAAUAAAAUAUAAGAAUAGUUAAAAAAUUGAUUUAAGCCUUACAUUAAUCAAUAGAAACAACCAUGCUAGAACCACGGGACUCGAGGGGUGCCUUACACCUUUCCCUCGGUUAACAGAAUUUCUUACUCAAUCUUCUAUUUUCGUAGACCAUAAAUUUAAGAGUCAAACAUUCCUUUUGAAAAAGGAUUCAAAUAGAAGGUGACUUGGAACACCAAAACUCAAUUCCAAGUAGCGACUCUAAAUAAUAAAUAAUCCUUUUUCAAAACGUCAUUUUAAUUGGAAAUACUCUUCUAACUCAACCUCGUAAUUGGGUUGUGUGACAAAAAAGAGGUGUGACAAUACUCAUUUCAAACUCACACCCCAUUAAUUUAGCAAAAUCCUUCUCAAAUUAUCAGUAGUAGCCCCAAAUAUUAUGUCAUCAACAUAUAUUUGUACAACAAUGAGGUCUUUACCUUUUUCCCUUAGGAACAAAGUGCUGUCAAUUUUACCUCUUUUGUAGGAAUUUUGAUAGUCGCGCAUACCACGCUCUUGGGUCCUGCUUGAGCCCAUAUAGAGCGUUGUCUAGCCUAUACACAUGCUCAGGACAUUGAUUUUACCUCUUUUGUACACGUGCUCCAGUAGAAAUUUUGAUUGUCGUUCAUACCACGUUCUUGGGGCCUGUUUGAGCCCAUAUAGAGCCUUGUCCAACUUGUACACAUGCUCAGGACAUUCUCUAGGGGACUUCUUGAGCCCAUAUAGAGCCUUGUCCAAUUUGUACACAUGCUCAGGACAUUCUUUGCUUUCAAAUCCUGAAUGUUUUUUUACAAACACUUUUUCCUUGAGGUAGCCAUUUAGGAAGGCACUUUUGACAUCCAUCUGAUGAAGAGUGAAUUCUAUAUGUGCUGUAAAGGCAAUGAGAAGUCUGAUUGCUUCUUGUCUUGCAACUGGAGCAAAGGACUCAUCAUAGUCAAUUCCUUCCUCUUGGCCGUAGCCUUGAACUACCAGUCUUGCUUUGUUUCUUGUGACAGUUCCAUCUUUAUCAAGUUUGUUCCUGAAGACCCAUUUGGUACCAAUGACUAAUCUAUCCUUGGGUCUUAGAACUAGAUGCCAGACUUGACUUCUUUCAAAUUGAUUGAGUUCCUCUUGCAUAACAUUGACCCAAUCUGCAUCCUUUAAAGCCUCAGCAACAUUUUUAGGUUCAAUAAGAGAUAGAAAGGCAUCAAAUGCACAUUGAUUCUUUAGUCGUGGUCUGGUUUUGACUCCACAUGUUGGAUCAAUGAGAAUGUUCUCAAUGGGAUGAGAACUUUGAUACUUGUGAAUUUUCAUGACCAACUGGUUUCUGCUGAAUGUUUCAGCUAUUUGCUGAGAACCAGGUUCAUGAACAGGUUCCUUCAAGGGGUUUAUUUCAAUUCCUCUUUUAUUUCUUCCCCCUGUUAAGUUGCCCUGUAAGGAAGAACCUGUUCCAUCACCUGAUUCUUCUAUAGGCGCUGCUUUGACUUGAGUUGAUGCUUCACCCAAGUCUUUGACCAGUGUUGCCCUGUAAGGAAGAACCUAUUCCAUCUCAUGUUCCUUUUGUAGGUGUUGCUUUGACUUGAACUGAUGCUUUACCCAAGUCUUUGACCAGUCCAAUGGCUUCAUCUUCACGUUCCUAUCCUUCCAAAAGAAUGUUAGUUUCAUCAAAGACAAUAUGCACACUUUCUUCUACACACAAAGUUCUGUUAUUAAACACUUUAUAUGUUUUGCUAUGUGAAGAAUAUCCAAAGAAUACUCCCUUAUCACUUCUGGGAUCAAACUUACCUAGGGAGUCUUUUCCAUUAUUGUGCNNNNNNNNNNNNNNNNNNNNNNNNNNNNNNNNNNNNNNNNNNNNNNNNNNNNNNNNNNNNNNNNNNNNNNNNNNNNNNNNNNNNNNNNNNNNNNNNNNNNNNNGAUAUCACUUGCAACCAAAUGCCCUAAGAUGGGAUAUGUUUGGUUUUCUCCCUUUAAGUAACUCAUAUGGAGUCUUCUCAAUAAGAGGUCUAGUCAUGCAUCUAUUAAUUAUAUAACACGCAGUGUUUACAGCCUCUUCCCAAAAGCUGUGGGGUAAUUUACUAGAGAAAAGCAUGGUCCUUGCCAUAUCCUAAAGGGUCCUGUUCUUUCUUUCAACUACUCCAUUUUGCUGAGGAGUCCUAUGGGCAUAGAAGUUGUGAUAUAUACCAUUUUAAUCACAAUAUUCAGCAAAUUUUGCAUUUUCAAAUUCAGUUCCAUGAUCAGACCUAAUGGAUGCAAGUUGAUUUCCUAAUUGUUUCUGAGUUUUUCUAACAAAAGCAGCAAACAUUUCAAAUGCCUCAUCUUUAGAUGUCAGAAAUAGUACCCAGGUAAAUCUAGAGUAAUCAUCAACAAACACCAUCACAUAUUUCUUUCCUCCUCUGCUCAUGGUUCUUAUUGGACAACAGAGAUUUAUAUAAACAAUUUCCAACGUCUUGGACGUACUUACCAUUUUCUUGGAUUUGAAGGAUGACCUUACCCACUUUCCCCUUGUACAUGCCUCACAAACUUUGUCUUCCUUAAACUUGAUAUUAGGUAAUCCUAUUACCAAGUCCUAGGAGACUAAUUUGUUUAGCUGAUUUAGACUGGCAUGGCCAAGUCUUUUGUGCCAUAGGAGGGGAUCAUUGCCUAACACACUUAAAUAAGUGAGUUCAUUUUCUGAAAGAGUUGACAAAUAUACAAUGUAAAUAUUGUUAACUCUUUUUCCCUGCAAAACAACCUUGUCAGUGAUAAGGUUAAUCACAAAAUAUUUGGUGGAGGUAAAAGCCACAAGGUUGCCUCUGUCAUACAGUUGUGACACACUUAUUAAGUUUCAAACCAUCUACCAGGUAGACAUUCUCUAUGGAGUGAGAAUCAGUCUUGACUACCUUUCCAACCCCAAUGAUCUCACAUUUCUUUCCAUUAUCAAAGGAGACAUUACCUCCUUUUAGGUCCUCAAGUGAAAGGAACUAGUCCUUGUCCCCAGUCAUGUGUUUUGAGCAACCACUAUCCAUAUACCAUAUUUGGCUCCUCCCUCUCACAUGGACCUGCAAAAGGAAAUCAGGGGUUAGUCUUAGGAACUCAAACUAGUUUGGGUCCCUUUCUAUAAGAAAAAAUAUGAAUUAAAUUCCUUUUUGCCCGUCCAGGCAACUUAUUCUUUUCUUUAACAAAAACUUUGUUCCUUUGACUGGCUAUUUCUUUUGCAUUACAUUCAUAUUUGUAAUGUCCAAUCUUACAAUAGUGUGUUGCAGAUUUUGUUUUCAGGAAGAGUGAGUUACUUUCCUUUUGGAUCCCAUUUAGGAGCUUGAGUCCCAUAGCAAAGUCCUCUUUUGUUACUGUUGUGAUGCUCUUGCAACCAAGAGAGAGUAUCUGAGGCUUUGUUCCACUUGCAAGUUUUGUAUAGUUCAUGUUUUACUUUUCCUAGACCUUCUUUUAGAACAUUGAUGAAUUCAUCUUUUCUGUAUAAUUCCUCUUUCAUUUAUCCUAAACUUUCUUCUAGAGUGAGAUGUGUGUGAUCAGUUAUCUUCUUUCAUGUCCCUAAUUUUAGUUUCAGAUUUUCAGACCUAAGUUCUAAGACACUGUUGUCAAGUGGAAGAACCUGGUUCUUCAACUUAGUAUUUUUGUUAUCACUCUCAUUUGCUCUAGACUCUAGACUUUUAUAUUUUGCUUUAGAAUCACACAUUCCCUAGAUAGAACUUCCUUCACAUUAUUGAUUAUUUCAAACUCAUCAAUGAAGUCCAUUAAUAGCUCAGCUAGUUUUUCUUAAGACAAGAAUUUAAUCUUGUCUUUGAGAUGUAGAAUACUUACCUCUUGCUCAUCAUAUGAUUCUCCGAUGGCCAUUAAUGCUUGCUCCUCCUCAGCUUCAUCUUCUGAGUCUUCGUCAGUUUCUCCCCAAGAAGCAACCAUACCCUGGGUUGAACCUUUGUUGCUCCUGGGUUGAACCUGUUCCUUCGUUCAGUUCCUUCGUUCAGCACUUUCUUUCUUCCACUCAAUUUCCCAUAGAGGACAGUUUGAUCAUGUGGUCAGUUUUGCCACACUUGUAGCAUCCCUCAUUUCCCCGUUUCUCCGGAACUCUUGUUUUAUUGAAGCUUGUACUUCUUGAAUAAUUUCUAUUUAUUAGAUAUCUUUUGAAAUCCCUAGUGAUCAUAGCUAUUUCAUCAUCUUCUAAUUAUGCACCUUUAGCAAUUCUAAGUGCUAAACUUCUCUCCCUAUUGGGGGUAUCCAUCUUCAUGGUUUGUCCCCUCAUUUCAUAGGCAGUUAAAUUUCCAAUUAGUUCAUCCAGUCUAAGGGUAGUAAUGUUCUUGGAUUCCUGAAUGGCAGUGAUUUUGCUUUCACAUGUGACUGGCAAACUCUUGUCAUAAUCUUCUCAAACUUGUCUUCUUCAAGGAUAGUCCUUCCAAGAGAUUUCAGUUCAUUUGUCAAAGUGGGAAUCUAGUGUAUAUCUCCUGAAUAGUUUCUCCUUCCUUCAUAGUAAAAUUCUCAUAUUGAGAAUACAGAAGUGUUCCUCUUGAUCUUUUCACUCGGGGUGUUCCUUCAUGAGCCACUUGUUGGGUGUCCCAUAUUUCUUUGGCGGUUGUGCAGCUUUGGAUCCUACCGUACUCGUCUGGUCCUAGACUACAUACAAGCCACUUCUUGGACUUAGCAUUUUUCUCCCAUUUUUUCAAGUCUUCUGUGAUGCAGUCAGCCCUAAUCUUUGGCACUUCAAUUCCUUCAGCAUUCUUCUUAGUGGUUGCUAGAGGACCAUCAAUGAUUAUGUUUCAAAGUUCAUAAUCUUCCCCUAUAAUGUGAUCUCUCAUUCUGUUCUUCCACAAAUAAUAGUACUAAUCACUGAAAAGUGGAGGCCUAGAAGUGGAUUGCCUUCCCAGUUUCCAGGUGGUGCACUCAUUGUUGAUCUUCUCUUAAGGUGUUAGCCUCUUCAAGUAUAACCUGCUCUGAUACCAAUUGAUGUUCCAAACAUUAAUUCCACACAAGAGGGGGGCUGAUUUUUGUGGUACCCAAUUUUCACACUAGAAGAACCCAAUUUUUCUAGGCGUACUAACUAUGACUGUUUGCGGAAUUAAGAGUGCAUAAAAUAAAGAACACAGAGAUUUUUACGUGGAAAACACCUGGCUCAAAAGGUGAAAAACCACAACCUACUACUCGGUAGGAUUUCCCGAAGCAUCCACUAAACUCAAUGAGCCAAAACAGCAUUCAAAACUCUUUAUAAACCUAAGGAUUAACUCUAAUCCCAAUGUGCCACACAACCUCAACUGUUGCGAUACUUUCAAGUUAACUCUAACUUGAAUACUCAAUGUACCUAAUACAAUUUGCUUCUAUGCAGGAUGGAAAGGUACAAUUUUAAAUCACCUACUAUAAUUGAACUAGAAAUAAAGAAAAACACAAUGGAACUGGUUUUUCAAUCUUGUUCAAGUAAUUGCAAGCGUGCACACUUGAUCUAACGUAAAUUGCUUGCAAAAUAGUCUUGCUCUUUUGCUCUCAAUUUAGCUCUAACUUCUUUGUAUUUGUGCGUUCCUGUACAAGAGAACAGUAUUACUUUUAUAGAGUUAGUAAUCAAAGUUUAACAAAAACUCGAAUUGCUGAUCCUUCAUCAAGUUUGAGUCCUAGAACAAUUCAAACUCCAAUUCCUUAUCCUAGAUCCGGAUAUAAUUCUCUUGAUAUAAGGAGACCUCUUCUCCUUAUCCCAUAUGCAAUCUUUUCGAUUACUUCAGAAUAUAUUUCUGCUCAAGAUCCAGAUAUAGUUCUCUUCAUAUAAGGAGACCUCUUCUCCUUAUCCCAUAUGUAAUCUUUUAGAUCAAUUCAGAAGAUAUUGCUGCUCGAUCACAAAGGCUUAUCUUCUUCACGUGCAUCUCAUGUGCAUAUGCUGUAACAAUAAUGUCUCCUAAGAUGGACAUGGUCCUUCACUGAGUUCAUUUGUCAUUCUUCAAAACUUCAACUAAACUUGGGCCAACAGUCAUCUUAUUCUUCCCUGUAUUUGGGCGUAUCUCGUGAUUCCUUGAGUUAUCUAGUUUAUAUAUCUGCACCUAUGGGAGAUUCUAUUAUUAUUAACCAUGUGUAUCGGUCAUGUUUGGUUGAUCUUAAUGGUUUUGAGACCAAAUCCAAUCUAUUAUUUCUCAGUAUGGUAGACUUUGAUGUUAUUUUAGGCAUGGACUAGGUGUCACCCUAUCAUGGUAUUCUUGAUUGUUAUGCCAAGAUCGUAAUGCUGGCUAUGUUGGGAUUGCCAUGAUUAGAGUGGAUAGGUACCAUAGAUUGUACUCCUAGUAGAGUUAUUUCAUUUCUAAAGGCUCAAUGGAUGGUUGAUAGGGGUGUGAUGCGUAUCUAGCAUAUGUGAGAGAUGUCAUUGUUGAUACUCCUACAUUGAGUCAGUUCUGGUAGUGAGGGAUUAUCCAGAUGUAUUCCUGGUGGAUCUUCCAGACAUGUUGCUCGAUAAGGAUAACGACUUUGGAACUGAUUUAUUACCGGGUACUCGGCCUAUCUCUAUUCCUCCAUAUCAUAUAGCUCCACCAGAGUUGUAGAAGUUAGAGGAACAAUUGCAAGAGUUGCUUAAUAAGAUCUUCAUUUGGCCCAGUGUGUCUUCUUGGGGUGCUCCAGUCUUGUUAGUGAAGAAGAAAGAUGAUUUUGUGUGCAUGUGUAUUGAUUAUCGCCUAGUUGAAUAAGGUUAUAAUGAAGAAUAGGUGUUAGUUGCCAUGUAUUCUUGAUGUAAUAUAAUCAAUUACAGGUUGUAGAGUGUUCUCCAAGAUAGACUUGCAUUCCGACUAUCAUCAGUUGAAGACUCGAGAGCAAUAUAUCCUGAAGACUGCCUUCAGGACUCCGUAUGUAACUAUUACUUCCUUGUGAUGUCAUUGGCUGACCAAGCCCCAGCAGCAUUCAUGCACUUGAUGAACAUUGUAUUACGGUCCUAUCUUAACUCAUUUGUCAUUGCAUUUAUCGAAGACAUUUUGGUGUACCCCCAUAAUCGGGAGGAUCAUAGAAGCCCUUGAGGGCUGUGCCUCAAACCUUGAGAGAAAAGAAGUUGUAUGCAAAAUUUGCAAUAUGUGAAUCUGGCUAGAUUCAGUGGAAUGUUUGGGCCAUAUGGUGUCAAGUGAAGGAAUAAAGGUAGAUCCGAAAAAGAUUGAAGUAGUGCAGAGUUUUCCUAGACCGUCCUAAGCUACGGAGACCUAGAGUUUUCUUGGUUUGGCGGGGUAUUACUAUCGAAUUGUAGAGGGUUUCUUAUCUAUUGCAACACCAAUGACUAGAUUGACCCAGAAGGGUGCUCCAUUUAAGUGGACAGAGAAGUGUGAGGAGAGCUUUCAAAACCUCAAGACUGUUUUAACUACAGCUCCAGUAUUGGUCUUGCUUACAGGUUCAAGGUCUUAUACUAUAUAUUGUGAUACUUCAAGUACCAGUAUCUGUACAGUGUUGAUGUAGGACGGUAAGGUGAUUUUCUAUGCGUCUAGACGAAUGAAGGUGCAUGAGAAGAACCAUCAUGUCCACAACCUUGAUUUAGCAGAUAUUGUUCAUGCCUUGAAAAUUUGGCGGCACUAUUUGUACGAUGUCCUUUGUGAGAUAUAAAUCGAUCACCAGAGAUGCAGCAUUUGAUCAAAAAUAAGGAUCUUAAUUUGCGUCAGCGAAGGUGGUUAGAGUUGCUUAUGGACUAUAAUAUCACCAUUCUAUAUCAUCCCCAUAAAGACAAUAUGGUAGAUGAUGCCUUGAGUCGUUGGGAGGAGAUUUUGGGCAGUCUAGCAUAUCUACCAGCAGUAGAGAGGCCAUUAGCAUUGCAUGUUCAGGCCUCGGCCAACCAGUUUGUUGGGUGGGAUGUUUCUGAGCCAAGUCGAGUUUUGACUUAUGUGGUUUCUCAGUCUUCUCUUUAUGAUCGUAUCAUAGAGCGUCAGUAUGAUGACCCCCAUCUAUUUGUCCUUAAGGACAUGGUUCAGCACAGAGAUGCCAAGGAGGUCACUAUUGGAGAUGAAGUGUAUUGAUGAUGCAAGGCAAGCUAUGUGUGCCCAAUGUAGAUGGUUUGCAUAGGUUGAUUCUCUAAGAGGUUCACAGUUCAUAAUACUCCAUUCAUUCAUGUGCCGCGAAUAUGUGAUAGGACCUAAGGAAGCAUUGUUGGUGGAGGAGAAUGAAGAAGGACAUAGUGGACUAUGUAACUUGGUGCCUAAAUUAUCAGCAGGUAAAGUAAGAGGAUCAACGGCUAGGUGGAUUGCUUCAGAAGCUAGAUAUUUCGGAGUGGAAAUGGGAGCGGAUCACUAUGGAGUUUGUUGUUGGGCUCCCACAGACUCAGUGGAAGUUUCAUACAGUUUGGGUAAUUGUGGAUAUGUUCUCCAAGUCGGAUCAUUUCAUUCCAGUGGUGACUACUUAUUCUUCUAAUCAUUUAGCUUGAGUUUAUUGUCAAGCUUCAUGGCAUACCAGUAUCCAUUAUCUCUAAUCGGGGUACGAAAUUUACAUCGCAAUUUUGGAGAGCCGUACACCAUGAGUUAGGUACUCGUGUUGAGUUGAGCAUAACAUUUCACCCUCAGACGGACAGACAGUCUGAGCAUACUAUUCAGAUAUUAGAGGAUAUGCUACAUGCAUAUGAGAUGCAGUUUGGGGUUUCUUGGGAUCAAUUUUUGCACUUGCUGAGUUUGCCUAUAACAACAGCUACCAGUCGAUCAUUCAAAUGGUCUCAUAUGAGACUUUGAAUGCUAGACGAUGUCGCUCUCCAAUGGGUUGUUUUGAGCUGGGCGAGGCUAGGCUAUUGGGUACAAACUUGGUUCAGAAUACUUUGAAAAAGGUUAAAUUGAUUCAGGAUCGACUUCGUACAGCCCAAUACAGAAGAUGAGUUGUGCAAAUCAGAAGGUUCACAACUUUGCAUUCAUUGUUGGCGAGCGGGUCUUGCUUUGAGUUUUGCCCAUGAAUGGUGUUAUGAGGUUUGGGAAGAAAGGGAAAACUGAGCCCAAGGUUAAUUGACCCAUUCAAGGUGUUGCAGUGAGUUGGGGAGGUUGAUUAUGAGUUUGCCUUGCCUCCUAGUCUAAUCGGGAGUUCAUCCAAUUUCCAUGUUUCUAUGCUCCAGAAGUAUUGCGGAGAUCUGUCUCAUGUGUUAGAUUUCAGCUCAGUCUAGUUGGACAAGGAUUUGUCUUAUAUUGAGGAGUCGGUGGCCAUUUUUGACAGGCGAGUUCAAAAGACGAGGUCGAAGAAUAUUGUUUUAGUGAAGGUUCAGUGGAGUGGUCAGCCAGUCGAGGAGGCAACUUAGAAGACCGAGCACGAUAUGCGUAGCUGUUAUCCUCAUCUUUUCACCACUUCAGGUAAGUCUCUAUACUCGUUUGAGGACGAACAUUUGUUUUAAGAUGAGGAGGAUGUAAUGAUCCGGCCGGCCGUUUUGAGAGUAUUAGACCUGAUCCCCUAUUUAUUGCUCUCUAUGUUUCAUUUUAUGGUUACUUGACUUACCGAGGUGCUUGGUGUUGGGUUCGGGAGAGUUUCAGAGUGAAAUGGGACACAGUCCCUAAGUUUGAAGUAUAAGUUGUAAGGUUGACUUGGGUGAAGACGACUCUAGAAUGGAGUUCUGUUGGUUCCAAUAGCUCCAUAUGGUGAUUUUGGUGUUAGGAGCAUGUCUAGAUGUUGAUUUGGAGGUUCGUAGGUUAUUUCGGCAUCAAUUGGCGAAGUUGGAAGAUUUUUGGAAAGUCUGAUUAGGAGUGGACGUCUUGAUAUCGGGAUUGGAUAUUGAUUCCAGAAGUUGUAACAAGUCCGUAAUGUCAUUUAGGACUUAUGUGCAAAUUUGAAGCCAGUCCGACUUGAUUUGGUAGGUUUCGGCAUCGGAUGUCGAAGUUAGACGUUUAAAAGUUUAUUAUGCUUUAAUCGAUGCACAAUUUAUUAUUUUAGCGUUGUUUGAUUUGAUUUGAAGGAUCGACUAAGUUCGUAUGAUGUGUUAGUACUUGUUGGUAUGUUUGGUUGAGAUCCCGGGGGCCUCAGGUGUGAUUUGGACCAUGUUCGGCACAAUUCGGAUCAUUUAUAAUUAGAUGGAGUUGUUGGUUUUUCUCAGGUUUGGUUUCCUUGAAUGCAAUUGCAUGGGUUGGUCCGCAAUCACGAAGGGGGUUUUGGGGGGAUUGGUGUUUUACUUUACGCGUUCGUAGAGAAUAGGAUGCGAACACGGAAAGGUUGGUUCAUAGCGAGUCGCGAACGAGUGGUGUAGGUCACAUUCGCAUUUAUUUAUUGGGUGCAACAAGAUUACGCACAAUUAUGCUUCACGGUCGCGUGGAUGAGUUCGUGAUCGCAUAGGUAUGGGUACUUAUUUGUCCGUGUUUGCAUGGAGUCAACCGCGUUCGUAUAGGCCAUUUUGGGAUAACCUUGCUUUCUUCUUCGCGAUCGUGGGGUUAUUCCGCGAUUGCGUAGUGUAAUUAUUGGGCAUCAGAACUUAAAUUUCAAAAUCGAGGGUUUGGUUUCAUUUUUCACUUUGGGAAUUUGAGAGCUCGGAUUUAGGUGAGAUUUUGAGGGAUUUUCAGAAAAAUAUUUGGGUAAAGAUUCUUGACUCGCUUUUUAUUAGUUCCUAUUAAUCUAUCUUUGAUUUCUUCAUCUAAUUAAGGAUUUCGGUUUAAAAAAUUUGGGAAAAAAAGUGUAAAAGUUCGUAGACCAAAUAUUUGGGUUUCGAAAGGCUAAAUGAGCUCGGAUUUGGAUAAUUCUUGUAUGUUGGACUCGAUAUCAAAUGGUUGUUCAGAUUUUAUAAUUUUUGUUGGGUCUCGAGACGCGGUCCCAGGUUGACUUAUUAGGACGAUUUUUUCAAUUCUUGCUAAAAUUAUAAUUUAUUAUUUAGAUUAGUUUCCUAUAGUUAUAUUAUAGUAUGUAAUUAUUUUUGGAAAGAAUUGAGUUUUUCGGAAUUGGAAAUUCGAGGGAAUCUUAUUGAUUGAUUGAGUGUGGUUCGAGGUACGUGACUUGUAUAACCUUGUGUGGGGAAAAUUCUCCUUUGAAUUUGGUAAUGUUACGGUACUUUGCUAUAUGUGAAGGCCGUAUAGGUAAGGUGACGAGUGCGUAUACAGGCUAAGUGUUGGAAUUCCGGUUUUUGCUAAGUAGUUUCCUUUAUAGGCCUUAACUGAGUUACUUUAGCACAUGCAGUCAUCAUGUUUAGGCUAAUUUCACAUGUCUACUUGUCUUGUCUCUUAGUUGCAACUUGUUUUACAUGCUUAGUUGAAUUAGCUACUUUUUUUGAUUUCAUAUUCAUUAUUUAACUGCGUGAUUAUUUACUUCAAAUUGAUAUCCUUGAAAUGUCAUUGUUUCAAUUGUUAUGUUUUGGUUUAUGUGAUUAUUGUUGAGAUGAUUGUUUGGUUGUUGCACGAAGUUUUUUCCGUGUGGGUUGUUAUUGGAGCACGAGAUUUCUGUCGUGCGGAUUGUUAUUAUGGCACGAGGUUUCUGUCGUGCGGGUUGUUAUUGUGGCACGAGGUUUAUGUCAUGCGGAUUGUUAUUGUUUGCACGAGAUUUCUGCCGUUCCGUUGUGAGUAUAGAUAUGCAUGGGUGGUAUAUGAGAUGACUGUGAGAUAUUUACUUUUGGGGCUAGGAGGCGGUUCCUCGUGAGUGCUCCUGUUGAAUUUUCCUUUAUUUAUUGUUUUUUGUUGUUGUUGUUUUCUUAACUUGUAAGAUUCCUGCUUCUUUUCAUGUUGUAGUUGUUUUUCUUUAUACCGUACUAUUGCCUUCCGUGAAUUCUUAUUUCACUUCCCUUUCUUCUUAUUAUAUUUUCUAUCUUGUCUCUUAUUAUUUUUUAGUAGGCUCCUAACCUGACUUCGUCACUAUGCUAUCGAGGUUAGGCUUGACUCUUAUUAAGUAUUAUUAUAGUGUACUCAUAGUACGCUUAUGUACAUCUUUUUGUGCAGAUCCGGUACCUCCUACCAGUCCAGGCACUAGUGAGGCGAGCUUAUUUCGGAGAUUUCAAGGUAUACCUGCCAGCGUACGCAUGCCCGGAGUCCCCUUCUUUCCCGUUCUUUUUCUUAUUUUUUUAACCUUAGACAAUAAUGUAUAGGAACGUUCCACAUUGUAUCUAGUGCUUGUGUCUUGUUUUUCAACGAGUUUUGGAUUUGUUCAUGAUGAGCUACAAUCUUCAUUUAUACAGCUAUUGAUUUUGACAUUUAAGUUAUUAUGUCAGUUAUUGUAUAUAUUUAUUAGGCUUACCUAGUGUUAAAAAUUAGGUACUGUCACGAUAUCAUAUAAAAGAAAACUUGGAUCGUAACAGUAUAAUUUGACAUUUAUAAAAGCUUGAUAUGUGUACAUUUUUUGUAAAACAAAAGCUAGAUUUGAGAGAUUUUUUUAAUUAAAAAAAAGGCCUACUAGACAUCCAUAAUAGCACAGAUUUCCAGAAGAUAUGGAGAAGUGAAGAAACAGAAACGGUAAAUUUGAACCCUUUCUUCUCUAUUUGAUUAAAAAGAAAAUUCAUUUUCUUUCAUCCAAAUUCCUUUAGUAUUUAUUGAAACAUAUAAAUUUAGUGAACGUAGACAACUCAAGAGACAUAACCAUUAAAUGUUUAAUCCUAAACAUUAGGAAAAUGAAUGGAAAAAAGUUUUAAAUAUUAGGGAAAUAAUUAAUUUAUUUCUAAAUAUAUAGAAAAGAAUUAAAUAAUUAUUUGUCUAAUGUGAAAUCUAUUUUUAAAGGAUAAAUAAAGCAAACGGCAUUUUGCUAAAGGUUUUCGUGUUUUUUAUAAAUAAACAGAUAGUAGAAAAAUAUAAAAAAUAAAAAAGACAAAACAUAAAAUAAAUUCUAUCCAAAACCACAAAACUAAUACUCUCUCCGUCCACUUUAAGUGUUUUUGUAGUUAUUUUCAUACAUAUUAAGGAAUUUGCCAUUUAACAUUAAUUAAUAAUAAAAUUGACCAUAUUAACAUUAAUUUGCUCAUUAGAAAUAUAACAAAUAUUCCUACGCUCGUAACUUUGAAAAGAAAAAGUUAAUUCUUUAAAUAUUUAGAAAAAUCAAAUAUUAUGGAUAACAAAAAAAGAAAAACUAAAAAAUUAGUUAAAGUGAAUGAAGGAGUUGUAACAUGCAUCGGAGUAUAUAUUCAAGAAGCAGAAAAGAAUUCAAAUGUGCAAAAAAUGUUCGACUUAUUUGAGCUCCUCUAAAAAAUGACCUCUUUUUAAGGAAAAGUCAAUUUACUACGUCGAUCAACUGAUGGAAAAUAGUAGUAUGCAAAUGAGGUGAAGGAAUCAAGACUUAAAUUGCUCGCUGCUAAUUUUACAUUGCAUGGGGUAACAAACACCAUUGUCUCUAACUAUGAUGGGAGAGAGGUUAGAACCAAACUAAUUUGCAAUCUUCCAUUUAGAACUUGCUGAUUUUUGUUUUUAUAUUUAUAUUUAAUUAAGUGAUAGGUUUUUUUUUUGUAAUUAAGAUUUUAUUAAUCACCAAAGAUUUUGCGUUACAAUGUCAUAGUCCAGCUUAUACUCAGCUGACUAUCUAAUCUAAUCCAGAAAACUACUUACCCGUAUUAGAAAACUAACUACUCAUAUACUAUAACUUGAAUUGAUGCAUCUGCUUUCUAGUUCUAGGAGUACCUCUAACAUUACAUAUAUAAGCUAGUUCCCUUACUAAGACUUCACUGUUACGAAAAGUAUUCUCAAAUAUACGUGAAUUCCUUUCCAGCCAUAAAGCAUAUGAUACUUCAGCAAUCACCAUUUUGAAUAUAUUGGCUCUACAGGAUUUCCCCUUAGCUUUACUGAUGAACCACUGGAGUUUUCCCAAGUAUAUGUCUUUGGAUGAUUCUCUUGAAUCCAAUGCAUUGCUUGCUCCCAUAACUCAGUUGAAAAAAAGACAAGAUAGAAAUAGAUGAUCUCUUGUCUCAAUAUGACUAUGGCAUAAAACACAUUGUUGGUUUAUAUUCAGUCCCCAGUUUGCUAAUCUGUCCUUGGUUGGUAAUCUGCCAUGUAACACUAGCCAGAAAUUGAACACAGCUUUAGGUCUAGCAUAAUUCUGGAUGAUUAGGUUCUUCCAUGGGACUCUCGGAAGAUCUCCUAACCGCAAAAGAUAUAACAUUCUGAUAGAGCAGUCAUGCCACCUCCAGCCUUGAAAUUUCUGAAGGAUAUCUCGGGAUGCUAUUACUCUCCUGACCAUCCAACUUGUAUCUCCUAACUGCAAGAGAUAUAACUGUCUGAUAGAGUAGUCAUGCCACCUCCAGCCUUGAAAUUUCUACAGGAUAUCUCGGGAUGCUAUUACUCUCCUGACCAUCCAACUUGCCUGCAUAGGGAUUGGCAUUGUCUCUACCUGAUGAUGUUUAACAUAGUAAGCAUUUAUCCACCUUAUCCACAAUAUGUCUUUCUUGUGAGCUAGAUCCCAGCAAAUCUUUGCAAUUGCAGCCUUGUUCCAUAGCAAAAGAUUGAUAAGGUUCAUUCCACCAGCUGAUUUAGGAGUACACAUUCUGUCCCAAGAUACAUAAGCUUUUUUAGUAACUUUGCAAUUGCAGCCUUAUUCCACAGCAAAAGAUUGAUAAGAUUCAUUCCACCAGCUAAUUUAGGAGUACACAUUCUGUCCCAAGAUACAUAAGCUUUUUUAGUAAUGGAAUUUGAUCCAGACCAAACAAAGCUUCUACAUAUUGCUUCAAUCAUCUUCAUUACUUUAGCUGGAAUGAUGAACAGUUGAGCCCAAUAUGCUUGAAUGUCAAAUAUCACUGAUUGUACUAAUUACAGCCUCCCGGUAUAGGAUAAUUUUGUGGCAGUCCAUGAAGUGAUCUUAGCAGUAAUCUUCUCCACUAAAGGUUUUCAUUGAAUCAAGGCAAUCUUUUUGGUGGACAGAGGAAUACCUAGGUAUUUGAAUGGCAAUUCUCCAUGAGCAAAACCAAGGUGAUCAGUAAUCUGCCUCUGCACAUCCUAUGUAACUCCCCCAAAAUACACUGAGCUUUUGCCCAGAUUAGCCUGCAAUCCUGAAGCUUCAGANNNNNNNNNNNNNNNNNNNNNNNNNNNNNNNNNNNNNNNNNNNNNNNNNNNNNNNNNNNNNNNNNNNNNNNNNGAAGCUUCAAGGAAUUGAGAGAAGUAUUGGAACAUGGCUAUGAUAGAAUCAAGGUCUCCUUUAGCAAACAGUAGCAAGUCAUCAGCAAAGCUCAUGUGAGUAAUACCUAGUUUUUUACAUCUAGGAUGGUAUUGAAAAGUUGGCUCUUUCCUUCGCACAGCAAGUGAUCUACUAAGGUACUCCAUUACUAUAGCAAAUAGGAAGGGGGAAAUUGGAUCCCCUUGUUUGAGUCCUCUAGCAGCUUCAAAUGGUUAUGUUGCUUCUCCAUUAACUAGCACUGAGAAACUCACUAUUUUUAUACAUUCAAUAAUCCAGUUAGUGAAUCUGGUUGGAAAGCCAAUCCCCUCCAUCACUUGUUGUAGGAAAAUCCACGCUAAUUGGUUAAUUUGGCUAAUAUUAAUAAUAUUUUAUCAAUUGACCAAUUUUUGUAAUAGGCUACUUAUAAAUGGACAUAGCUGGUAAUUUCCCUUUAAUAUUUGGAUUAAGAAAUCCAAUAAAUAUAUAUAAAUUAUUAAUUUAGAACCAGUAACUUAAAACGAUUAUAAAUUUAAACUCAUAAAGUUUAAAUUCUAGUCGCCUAUGAGGUAAGAUUAAUUACACAAAUGAUGUUGGGCGUGAUUUUUUGUAGUCUAUUGGCCAGCAUUUUAGAUAUCAUUUUGUAAAGGACUGAGCAACAUGCAAUGGGUCUAUACUCUUUAACUGUGNNNNNNNNNNNNNNNNNNNNNNNNNNNNNNNNNNNNNNNNNNNNNNNNNNNNNNNNNNNNNNNNNNNNNNNNNNNNNNNNNNNNNNNNNNNNNNNNUUUUACUGUGGUAGGAUUGGAAACUUUGGGGAUUAAGGUAAUAGUGGCACAAUUUAUUGGCUUGUACAUCUUGGUUGUUAAAAAGAACUCCUUGAUGGCACUUAUGACUUUCCUACUAAUAGUGUUCCAAAACUUCUUGAAAAAUACAGCAUGGUAACCAUCUAUUCCUGGGGCUUUAUCAUCUCCAAUUGCUUUUAGACUCUCCACUAUUUCAAGGUUAGUGAUAUCACCACAUAACUCCCUUCUCUGUUGUUGUGUUAGCAUUGGACCAUUAGUCAUACAUAUUCUGUUUAUGACUGGAAGAGAUGCAGCUAUUGAUCCCAUUAGUGCCUUGUAGAAUCUAAUGAUCUCCCUUUUUAUGUCUGCAAGUGUAUUUACUUUAUCUCCCAUUGCAGUUGUGAGUUCUGUGAUCUGCUUACUUUGUGAUCUUUCUUUCAGAAUUGCAGUAAAGUACUUGGUAUUAGAAUCUCCAAGUUGUAUCCAUUUUGCUCUAGUCUUCUGCUGUAAUUCACUUUCUUCAAUCAGUGACAACCUUUCCAGCUUCAAUACUAUCACUUUCUCUUUCUGCUUCAACUCAUCAGAAUAUGCCUUUAUCAUUUGCUCCUGCACUUCUUUCAGUUCCUGUCUGAUAAGCUCUAUCCUCUGAGUAAUGCUUUUGAACUCCUUAACAUUUAAGGCAUUUAAAAGGCCUUUCAAUGUUUUGAGUUUACCCCAUACUGCUUUCAUAGUUCCAAAAUUGUUACAGUUCCAGACAUUUGCCACAAUCUGAUGAAACUCCUCAUGCUCAGUCCAUACAUUGAAAAAUUUGAAAGGUAUCUUACCUUUCCAAGAAGAAGAUGCUAGUGUCACUAUCAUAGGAUUAUGGUCAGAGAUUAGUGGUUGACCAUAUACUGUUUCCACAUGGCUCCAUUUGAUCAUCCACUCAAAGUUUCCAAAAACUCUAUCCAGUCUGCUACAUACUCUAGCCACUCCAGGCUGUUUGUUUGUCCAGGUAUAAUAAUCACCCUUCCAAGGUAGCUCUGACAGUCCUGCUUUCUGUAUACAUUGGCUAAACUCUUGGAUCUCAGAAUAUUUAACAUGAUUACAUGAUUGUCUAUCCUUGGCAUAUAAGACAGUAUUGAAAUCCCCAGCAAUUAACCAUGCAUCUUUUAUAUUUGAUGAAUAGACUUGUAAAUUCCUCCAUAAAGAUCUUCUUUGCUCCAGUCCAUUGUACCCAUACACCACAGUGAGGUAAAAAGUAACAUCCCCUGUUAUGCUUCUGACCUUGCAAUGUAUCAGUUGAGCUUCCUCCUGAAUACCAGCAACUUGAAACAUAUUUGAAUCCCAUAAAAUCCACACUCUACCAUUUUCAGCAUCAUUAUAAUUUGUUAGAACACCCUAUCUAGGAACCACCAGAUUAGCAAUUCUACUAGCAUUUAUUUUUUUACCUUAGUUUCUACCAAACCAACAAGGCUUAUUUUAUUUCUCCUAAUAUACUCCCUAACUUCCUUUUGUUUGUAUCUUUUAUUUACACCUCUGAUAUUCCAGAAUAACCACUUCAUUGAUAAUUGCUUAGUCCCCCUAUCACCUGGUGGAACCUCAUGCUUACUAUUGGAAACUGCUUCAAAUCUAUUAUUAAUAGUAAUGGGAGACAGAGGUGGAAAAUUGAUGAAGUUGAAUUCUGGACUCUGCACUUGCUUCCCUUUCUCUAUCUACUUUUCUUUAUCUGUUAUCAGAUUUGGAGGUUCAUUGGCUCAUUAUGAACUUCAUUUGCAACAAUCUGUUGUACUAUUGCCUCUUUUUGAAUGGGGACAGUUGGACUGAGCCUUGGUUCUCCAUUCCUGCACUACUUUUGCCUUCUUCACUUGGCUAGGCUGGUGUGUAUUUGCCUUCAUUUGGAUUGAGCAGCUAUGACCAAUAGUUUGAAACUUUUCACAGUAUGAAGGUUUCAAGUCAUAGACUACAUCUUGUAAGAAUCUCUUCCCAUUUGGCUCCAUCGCCCAUAUUUCUCUUGGUAACUCUUUAAUGACAUUAAUCUCUAUAAGCAUUCGAGCAUAAGAUACUCUAGUUUGCUUGGUUGUACAUUCAUCCGCAAAUAUAGGCUUUCCUAAGACACUUGCAAUCCUUCUUAAUGAUCUCAUUCCCCAACAAGACAUUGGAAGCUUUAGAAACUUCACCCAUAGAGGAAUAUCAGUAGGGAAUUCCUCCGUGAAAUCAAAAUCUGGAGUCCAUUGUUUAAGGAUCAUAGGUCUGUUGGCAAUUGAAUAAGGCCCUGCACAAAGAAUUUCCUUAGCACCUUCAAUUGUUCUGAAUUUAACUAUGUAAUAACCUUCCUCAUGGUAAUACAAAUCUAGCUCUGGAACAUGUGACCAGUGAAGAUUAAUGAACCUCUUCAUCGCAUUGAAACCAGGUCCAUCCCCUAAUAUAUAUACAAUUAAAGCACAUUUCCACUUUAUCUCUUCCUCUUCUACCUCUAAUUUGUUCAAUUGCACUAUUGGUUGUCCAUCAAUCAUUACAGGAGGUAUGUAAUCUAAAGCAAUACCAUUUGUUGCAAACCUAUUUUUCUGAAAUAAGGUAGACCAAAUCUUUUUGGGUUCCUCAGUUCUGUUACGAAUGGUCUCUGAAUUCUCAUUUACUUCCACCACUGGUUGGACCUGGGUCUGUAUUGACUUCUGCAUGGAUACUAUUCCGGUGGUUGCCUUCUUCGUUAGAUCUAAAUCAGUUCCAAUCGGAGCUGGUGAAGCCAGAUCCAGCUUCUUUGAGACUACGGACUAGUUCGAUGUCGACCCACUUGAAACUCUCUCCUCUACAACUGGUGAAUCGAAGUGCUGCACACGAGGGGUCAUAGCUACUACUUUCUCCAACGCUGGUUGCUUGAUUGUUGUUAUCAGUUUCUCAAUUGUUGCUAGUGGUAUCUUACGGGGCCUUCCUCUACCUCUGCCUCUCCCUCUCGCCAUUAUCACAGACUCGGCGUACGUUUAACUAACGUGCGCUAAAACGAAGAAGCAGAGUCUUGUCUGAGAUAAACACUAUGCGUUUGUUGUUAUAGUUGAGUCCCUCCCUCUCGCCAUUGUUACAGACUCGGCGUACGUUUAUCUAACGUGCGCCGAGAGAUGAGGUGAUAGGUUGAAAGGUAGUUAUGAGUUUCUCCUAGGUUUAUCGGUACUAUUUUUGUAGUGCUAAUAUUAUUCUUUUAUUCUUGGUUUUUUUGUUACUUGUUAUGUCACUCGCUUCCAUUAUCUUAAUAUAUUACUGCCAUUGUUGUUUGUUGCUUAAUUUUUAUUGUUUCUUAAGUCAAGAUGUAUCAAAAAUAGUUUUAAUGCCUUUACAAGGUAGGGGUAAGCAAGGGCUGAGCCAUAUUGCUAUUUGUAGGUUCGGCCAAACCCAGAAGCUUUUGCUCAAAUUUUGUAUUUAAUAUUGGAAAAUUUACACAAAUGUCCCAAAUAAAUCUUAACUUACCAACCUCUAGCCAUUAGUCAUAGACUUACCAAAACUAGCCAACAAAAAUUGAAAAACUAAAUAAUAGGUCUCUUUCUAUCAAAGAAUUGCAUGCAAAAAUCACCUUCCAUAUUUUUAAGCGUGAUUAGUCACAUUAGAUACACGAUGGAAAGGAAAUUUCAUAGACGGGGUAGCAAAUAAGGUGAUGAAAUACAAAAAUCUAUACAAUAUUCCAAAAAUCUAAAUAAAAAUGAAAAUUUUUCAAUAGGUAUAGAUGCAAUUCAUUCAAAAUAUAUAGAUAAGUCAAUAUACAAAAUUUGAGGAAUAUUGGAGGUGAUUUCGACUGGUUUUGUGUCAAAGUUCGUAAUUAAAUCGAGUUCGAAAAAGUCCUCUACGACACAUAUAUCAAACAUGUAUCAGACAUGUAUCUCGCACACAAGUAUACAUGGAUAUACAUGUAAUAUACAAUUAAUACAUGUGUGAUAUACAUAUCAUUUUUUUCAUGUUCAGCUUUUACUUCGAAUUUUCAAUUCAAACCACCUCAAACUUUACCAAAUCAUCCCAAAAUUGAUAUUCAAACUCCUUAAGUUGUGCUCAAUCUAUUCUAAUAACACUCAUUCAAAAUAAAGCAAAAAUUUUAUAUGUUUUGCUACAAAUAGCUAAUUGGUUAAUUUGGCUAAUAUUAAUAAUAUUUUAUCAAUUGACCAAUUUUUGUAAUAGGCUACUUAUAAAUGGACAUAGCUGGUAAUUUCCCUUUAAUAUUUGGAUUAAGAAAUCCAAUAAAUAUAUAUAAAUUAUUAAUUUAGAACCAGUAACUUAAAACGAUUAUAAAUUUAAACUCAUAAAGUUUAAAUUCUAGUCGCCUAUGAGGUAAGAUUACGUACACGUACUCUCCUAAUAAUUUAGGUAUGAGAUUAAACUAAGUUUGUUGUUUUUGUUCUUGACCAACUAAGUUACCAAUUCACAAAAAGAAAAACUUAUCAAUUGGAAAAUUUUACUACAUGGAGUACUCGAUCAUUACCUAAUAUUUUUAUAUCAAUUAACAAUAUUUUCUUUUUUAUAUUCAACAAUUUGGAUGCGCCAUUCACGGAACUUUAUAAAUACACCUAUUUACCAUUUUUUUCUCAAUCACCUUCACACGGAACCUCUUUCCCAUAUCUCGCAAAACCCUAAACUCACAUCUCCCUCUUCCUAAACCUCUCCAUCCAUCCAAUUUUCACCAACCAAUUAACCCAAUUGAUCGUUCCGUUUCCUCGAUUCGACCAAUUUUCACCUACCCAUUAGUCCUAAAAGUUCAAUCUUUAUCCUCAAUUCCACCAAAAAUUCAAUCGUUUCCUCAAUUCCACCAAUUUCUCACCGACCCAUUAGCCCAAAGAUUCGAUCUUUUCCUUCAUUUUCAUCACAAAUUCAAUCUUUUUCCUCAAUUGUACCGAUUAUUUUACCGACCCGUUAAACCCCCAAAAAUUCGAUCUUUUUCACCAUAUGGGUACAUUUAGGGUUCCAUCGGAACCUUCAAAAUCCCCAAAUUCAUCAUCAUCGCAACCCACAACCACUACAUCGACAUCUCGAAUCGAGACGAUUAAUGGGUCUCACGAAUUCAAGGUAGAAGGUUACUCAUUAUCUAAAGGUAUGGGAAUUGGGAAAUAUGUAACUUCUGAGAUUUUUACCGUGGGUGGUCAUUCUUGGGCUGUUUACUUUUACCCUGAUGGUAAAAGUGCCGAGGAUAAUGGUGCUUAUGUCUCGCUUUUUAUCGCGUUGGCUAGUGAUGCAACUGAUGUUAGAGCUUUGUUUGAGCUGUCUCUUAUGGAUCAGAGUGGUAAUGAGAGGCAUAAGGUUCAUACCCACUUUGGUCGCGUGCUUGAGACGGGUCCUUACACACUAAAAUAUCGUGGUAGCAUGUGGUAAUAUUCUUUUGCACAUCUGUACUUUUUACUGUAUUGUAUAAUAAUGGCGUGCAAUGAGUUUAAAUGGAGUAACAUGGUUAGUGAGCAUUCAUAUAGCCGACCCCCAACUAGUUGGGACUGAGGAGUAAUUGUUGUUUAUUUGUACUUCUUAUUGUAUGAUAUUGGAAUGGGAUAACACGGUUCAUACAGCCGACCCCAACUUGUUUGGACUGAGGAGUAGUUGUUGUUGUUUAUUUGUACUUCUUAUUGUAUAAUAUUGGCAUGCAGUAGCAUUGCCAGUGAGCAUCAUAUAGCCAAACCCAGCUUAGUUGUUUGAUAAAACUGAGGCGUAGUUGUUGUGGUGGUUGUUUAUCUAUACUUUUUAUUAAUUGUAGUUGAUUUUUGUUUUUACUAUCAGGGGUUAGUAUAUACUUGCAUUUGGUUUAUGUUGUAGGCAGUAUGUCAUAUGUAGGGAUAAGUCUAAUCAUUAGUGCUGGAAUGAAGCAGGUCCGCUAAAGUAGACUGUAUAUAGGAUGCAGAAGCCACAAGUACUUCUGGCUUGAGGAAUAGCUGACUUAUUGAUUAAUAUGGGUUAUUUCUAGUCCUCGAAUAGUUUGAUCGGGAAAGUAUUUUUAUAGGUUAGUGUGAAUAGGUUAGGGUUUAAUAAAAUUGUAAGAAGGGGCGCAACUGGGUUUUUCUCUAAUGGGUUGGGAAAGUCUUUUUAUGGGUUAGUGUGAAUAGGUUAGGGUUUAAUAAAAUUGUAAGAAGGGGCGCAGCUGGGUUUUUCUCUAAUGGUGUUCAAGCUAUGAAGAAGUAAGCAUGGUGAGCUAACUUGACCAGCUGCGGCCGGGUUUCAUUGCGGAAGCUUGAACUCGCUUGACUCUUACUCUAAAGACAUUCCAGAUGUAAUUUACCUGUAUGACAAUGAAAGCUUAUGACAUCACUUUGACUUAAGUUACCUGAAUGACAAUGAAAGCUUCUGACAUCACUUUGACUUAAGGUGGAUACCACCAAUGAUGGCAAGGGGUUGGUGGUCUAGAAACAUCUUUUGUUGGUACAUCAUGGGCUGUGUUGGUAUAUGUACAUGUUUGGAAUUAUGUAAAUUUAGUGCUGAAGUGCCUAAGCCAAAGUUGGACAUUGUGAGCUAGUAGUUGGUAAAAUAAAGUGCGUUCAAAAUUUAUAACAUUGGGGAGAAUGAAAAGCUUCCUUUUGUGUCACUUAAAUUUUUGAUGUAAAAAUUAUUCCAUAUUGUAAAUAGUUGGAUGAAUCUUUUUGAGUUCAUAUGUUAUCCAUACUCUGGUACAAUAAAAAGGAUUUGGUGCUAUAUUGAUUUAAUCCCUUUGCUCAUGAAAAAGUUGGUCUAAUUCUUGUUGUAACAUGCUAUGACUUUGGUCCUUUAUUUGCAGCUAUCUGCUUGCCUUUCGCGUUUAACCACUAAUCCGGCCUGUUUUGGCUCGUGUUGUAUAACUAGCUUCCCUCCUUGCAGUAUAAGUGGUCUAUUGAUUUUAAUACUAUUGCAUUGAAGAUCGCUUUUCAGUGUAACCCCGAUAAUUCCAAAUUGGGUGCUAUUGGGCAGGGUAUAUAUGACCCCAUGAUGCACAAAUAAACGAUGAAUGACUAGUAGGUGUUGGGACAUGUUAACUCCAUUAGGCUUAUUCCAUAACGAUUCUUUUGAUUCUAGUACUUAGCAAAAGAAAAGGUGAUGGCAUUAUAGGUUCUUUCCCAUCGUUCAUUUUAAAUCUGGAUGUGCUCAAAUUCUGUUCUCCUUUAUGCGGCAAAGGGGAAUCUCCUUUAAGCAGAAGUAAUGAGUGUUGACGUACAACUACGGUGAAGGUGAGCUUUUUCUUGUUUAUAGGUAAGUAGUUAUAAUUUACCAGCAUCAACCACCUAAUAUGUGAUGCAGAACUUGCAUUUUGGAGGAUGCAACCUUUGCAUAGCCAUAGUAUGAUCAAGUACACAAACGUGUGAGAUAUACCUCGAAGAAGUAUCAUGUCAUGUCAAGGAGUCCAGAGAAACCUGAAGGAUGAGUCUCGUAUUCAGAGAUCUCCACUACAGAAACUAAGUUUAACAUAACAAUCAGAGUUAGUCUUUUGUUCAUUGUUAUGGUUGUUUGCAUGUUUCCAACCUCUUUAGCUCUCCCUCCAAUCUAGAAGUCUUCCUUUCUGGCAAUUUCAAUGGAGAACUUUCUCCAGAAGCUUUGCAUUUAGAAUGUAGCAUUGAUACAGAUCCCUGUUACCUAGUGUUCCUCGUGUGAUUCUAGGUGGCAUGUGUAUGCUCUCUUUGCAUUUAAAAUGUAGCAUUGAUACAGAUCCCUGUUACAUAGUUUUCCUCGUGUGAUUCUAGGUGGCAUGUGUAUGCUCCUGCACUCCUGACAUUCCAUUCCAUUGUUUCAGAUGUUGAUAUUUUUUAUUUGUUUCUUCUGAUUACUGUCCAUUCAUUAUAUAUUUUUGCUCCUCUGACAUCCAAUGGUGUCUUCCACUUUUGUCCAAAACCUGUUACCUUGUAUUUUCAUCGUCUCUUGCUGCUUCACGAGUUGGACUUCCUAGCUUCUGCGACCUCAAUUAUUAGGACCAACCUUGAAAUUACAUUGUCCAGUAGUCAUCCUUAACGUAGUUUUCGCCUAUCAAAAAGUAAAAAGUGAGCAUCAUCCUUAGGGUUAUUAUUGCAUGCGACUGUAUUUAUGUUUCUUAUGUUUGCAUAAUUAUUUACGUUAUUUCUNNNNNNNNNNNNNNNNNNNNNNNNNNNNNNNNNNNNNNNNNNNNNNNNNNNNNNNNNNNNNNNNNNNNNNNNNNNNNNNNNNNNNNNNNNNNNNNNNNNNNNNNNNNNNNNNNNNNNNNNNNNNNNNNNNNNNNNNNNNNNNNNNNNNNNNNNNNNNNNNNNNNNNNNNNNNNNNNNNNNNNNNNNNNNGUAGGGGUAAGGCUCGUCUACAUAAUACCCUCCCCAGACCCCACCUGGUGGGAGUAUACUGGGUAGUUGUUGUUGUUGUUGUUGUUGUUGACUUUGACUGUGCACCUGAAAAAAGUUGUAGGAAGAACAUUCGCUAUUGAAAGAUAUGUAUGAAGGAAGAACUUUCUCGUAGCAGAACUGAACUUCUUUUUGGAGUAGCAAAAUCUAUAGUAGGGAUAUUUAAAGAAAUUUUAUUAUUAGCUUACUGUCUAUUUUCCUUUUUAGGAAUUUAGUUCUUUUGUACAUGUACUCUUUUUUUGCUUUUUCUUCCAUCAAUGCAUCUAUUGACCUAUUCCAGUUUUAUGGUUGUCUUUGUAGGGGAUAUAAACGCUUUUUCAGGAGAACAUUAUUAGAAACAUCAGACUAUCUGAAAGAUGAUUGUCUCUUGGUCCAGUGCACUGUUGGUGUUGUCAGAUCAUACAAUGAAACACCAAAGACUUACUCCCUGCCUGUGCCACCAUCAGAUAUUGGAAUUCAUUUUGGGCAGCUCCUAGAGAGUGGAGAGGGAGCAGAUAUAAAGUUUGAAGUUGAAGGUGAAGUUUUUGCUGCACACAAGUUGGUUCUUGCUGCCCGCUCCCCUGUGUUCAGGGCACAACUCUUUGGUCCAUUGAAGGAAGAUAAUGUACAAAGUCUUAAACGCUCCCCUGUGUUCAGGGCACAACUCUUUGGUCCAUUGAAGGAAGAUAAUGUACAAAGUAUUAAAGUUGAAGAAAUUCAGGCUCCAGUAUUCAAGGUUUGAAACCUUCUUUCUUUCACAUGUCUCUUGAUCCUUAUUCUGUUGUAUUAUUCUUUAUGAAGGGAGGAAUUUUGCCCAUGAAUUCUCGAAGUUAUUGCAAGUGUUGUGUGUUCCAAUUUAAAAAUGAAAAAAAUGACAGUAAAUAUACAUGACAUGGCUAUACAACUAGUAGCUAUUCUAUUUUUAUUUUUUUUGCUUCACGAUUUGAUGGCUUCUGUGCUGAUGGAGUCACAUGUACCUUAUUGUUGUCACCUGCCUUCCUGAGCCAUAUAUGUUGCUAUUGCUACCAUAUGCAGGGUUACUUUUUAUCAGCAGAACAUUUGGAGAUUGUAUGUGCACAACUAUUUAAUCUCCUAUUUUGGUGAAACUAUGUAUUAGCAUAUGAUGUGUGUUGUUUGCUUAUAUUGGUGCUGAAAUUUGGAUUUUGGCUCAAUAAAGAUUUUCACUAGAGGGGUUCUUCUGAUGGUAAGCAAUCCUCACUUCCAACCGAGAGGUUAUGAGUUCGAGUCUCCCCAAGAGCAAGGCGGGAAGUUCCCUAAGCAGUGGCCAACAAGCGAUUAGAGUCUUCUGUAUUCCACUACUGCUUUGGAAAAGCUAUCAAAAAUGUGUUAUGGUCUUUGACAUGCAUUAUUAUGUGAUCAAAUUAGUAUUUAGAUGUUAGAUUUUGCCAAUCUGCUUAUAAAAAGUACUGGUGAAUGUUUUUGUCCCCUUUUAUUUAUAACUUCAACAAGGUCUCUCUAGGAGGAUUUUACUAUCAUGAUUCGUUGUGAAAUAAUUAUGGGAAGUUGCACAAGGCAAAGGACAAAAACCUCUCUACCUUCACAAAGAUAGGGGUAAGGUGUGCGUACAUACUACCUUCCCCAGACUCCACUUGUGGGGUUCUCACUGUUUUUGUUGUUGCACAAUGCAAAGGACAAAAUGAUGAUGAUGUACUCGGUUACCUUUCUCAAAAAAAUAUUGAAAAUAUUGUAUCAGGGAAACUAUGGGUCAUAUCAUACAUGCAAGAUGGAAUCACAUACUACUAUGCUUACGAAGUUGUUGCAGUUGGUAGCAUGUGCCUUAUGGAGAUGUCAGUUAAAGGGGAGGAGAGUAAACUGUAGUACGAUGAGCUGAAAUCCUAUGUUGAUUAUAGUUUGCGGUCUUGAUUUUUAUGUUUAAUGGGGUUUAUGUGAUGGGGGUGGGGUUAAAUUUUCUGGAGCUACUAAUUGCGGGAGUAGUUUGAAGCAAAAAGUACCAACCUUUUUUCCGAUUUAAGGGCAAAGCGGAGUUAAAAAGCAUGGGCUUUAACAAAGAAAGGUGUUAAAAAGUAGAAAAAACAAAAAACAAAAAACAAAAAAAAAAUGUAAUGCAGAGGAAAAUGAACUGCAAAUGCUACAGUAACUAUUUGGACUAAAAAAUCGAAGUAACUAUAAUUAAGUAAACUCUAUGAAGUAAAAUCAUCCGAAUCAAGUCCAGAAACUAUUUUAAAUUUCUGAUUUAGAUGAGAAGAUGCAAUUUUAUGUUUUUGGAGCUAGUUUUUGAAUAUUUUAAUUUAAUCUUUAAUUCUUGAUGAGUAAAAUUCUUUCAUAUUGUUUUUAAAAAUUAACACAUCGCUUUACCAACUAUAUUUAUUGUCUAGUACUGCCUUCUUAAAGAUAGCCCAUAGGUUACGAGGCACGUAACAUAACACCUUAGUGUCUAUAUGGAGACGCCAGCUAGUGAAGCGAAGCAUGUAGCCUGGCUUUAACUUUGCUUUAUGGCUUUCUGUGUGCCUCAAACAAGCCAUUGACACCACUACCUUUAGGUUUAUUAGGAUGAAAGAACAAGACUUGACCUUCUCAUCAAUCCUCUUCUUCUUGUAGUUCUUUUUUUGUUCUCAUGGAAUUACAUGUAUAGUAUCACCUAAGGGUGUGGCCUAGUAGACAAUUAAGCGGGUGUGAACCUUGGAGAUCAGGGCUCAAAUCGCAGCAAAGGCUCAUCUUUGCAUUUGCCUAAACUUGUUGCAUAGUUAAAUAAUACAUGUGAUGGUGAAAGGUAGCAUGCAAUCACUAGAAUAGUCAAGGUGUGCAAAUUGGUGUAGAUACUACUAUUAAAAGAAAAAAUACAUGUAAAGCAAGUAGUGGCAAGAAGCAAUAGCGUUGUUCCAUACUAGCAGCAGUGAUGUUAGAGCCAUGAAUUAGCAGAACUGGUGGGGAAAGGUUGCGUUAUUAUAUGAGCUAAGCUUGAACUCAAUUUUGGCUGAACACGUUGAGGGGGCUGCUUGUGUUGCUCGAGCUUCUUCUGUGCUCACGAAAUAAAAAAAAUCCUUACGAUUAAUAUUAUGUGAGAAUUGGGGGGGNNNNNNNNNNNNNNNNNNNNNNNNNNNNNNNNNNNNNNNNNNNNNNNNNNNNNNNNNNNNNNNNNNNNNNNNNNNNNNNNNNNNNNNNNNNNNNNNNNNNNNNNNNNNNNNNNNNNNNNNNNNNNNNNNNNNNNNNNNNNNNNNNNNNNNNNNNNNNNNNNNNNNNNNNNNNNNNGGGGUACAUUGUUUCACUAAGCCAAAUGAGUUCAAGCUCAAGAUUGCUUCGGAGCUUAGUGGUAUUUGAGGUGAGCUUGGCUUGCAAUAAUGGAGUUGAGCUCAAAAUCAGAACACCUAAGUUACCGAAGGGCCCGAGGGGUUGUUGUGCGUCUCCUCUGUUAUAUUUCCUAAUGUUUCUAUGUUGGUUAUGGUGUUUUUGGCUCUAGUAAUCUGGCUUUGCAAAAUGUUUGCAUAUUGUUUUUCCUGCCUAGAGUCCAGCAGGCUUAUUGCUUUUCUCUUUGUAUGCUCCCUAUGCUUUGCUUUUAUUGUUUCAUUAGGCAUUCAGUUAUCUGUGGACAAGAGGGGUUGCUCUGAUGGUAAGCAACCCCACUUUCAACCGAGAGGUUGUGAGUUCGAGNNNNNNNNNNNNNNNNNNNNNNNNNNNNNNNNNNNNNNNNNNNNNNNNNNNNNNNNNNNNNNNNNNNNNNNNNNNNNNNNNNNNNNNNNNNNNNNNNNNNNNNNNNNNNNNNNNNNNNNNNNNNNCUAAGUUCUUGGAGGGAAGGAUGCCGGAGGUCUAUUUGGAAACAGCCUCUCUACUCAAGGGUAGGGGUAAGGUCUGCCUACACACUACCCUCCCCAGACCCCACUAAGUGGGAUUACUGGGUUGUUGUUGUUGUUAGGCAUUCAGUUAUCUGCCUAGAUUUUUUAUUUUAUUUUUGGGUAACCGUGGUGUCUGGACUAGCUUCCGCUCCCCUCGACUAAUUCCACGGGAUACCCGCCACCUUCCGCCAGCAGGUCCCCAAGGCUUGGACAUAUGAGAAGAAAUACUUAGUGGGGUUUGAACCUGAGACCUCUGCCUAGAUUUUGUCAUCAAAUAGCUGCUUCUUCAUUAUUAUUGCUUAUUUAUUCUAAGUUAGGGAGUAGUGAACUUGGCAUCUCUGUUUUUUAAAUUUUGGCAUCUGAUAUGAAUUUAAAUGGUAAUAUUCCGUGAGGAUUCAUAUAGUCGACCCCAACUUGUUUGGUACUAAGAUAUAGUUUUUGUUUUAUCUGAUAAAACUUUCUUUUUUCUUUUCUUUUUCUUUUUUCCAGGCAUUGCUCCACUUCAUCUAUUGGGAUGCCCUUCCUGAUUUACAAGAGCUUGUAGGUCUCGAUACAAAAUGGGCAGUCACUUUGAUGGCUCAGCAUCUGCUUGCUGCAGCUGACCAGUAUGGUCUUGAGAGAUUGAGAGCACUUUGUGAGGCUAAGCUUUGCGAAGAUGUUACAAUCAACACCGUUGCUACAACUUUAGCUUUGGCAGAUCAGCAUCAUUGUGUCCAACUGAAAUCUGUGUGUCUUAAGUUCAUUGCGUUGCCUGAAAACUUGAAAGGUGAAGUAUUCGAUGCCUAUUGUUUGGAUAACUACUCAUCCAGUGUUCUUGAGAGCACAAAGCGCAAAAAAGCGACAAGGGCUCGCCUCGCUUCAAAAGCGAAGGGCACGCUUCAUUUAAGUUAGCGCAAUUCUUAAAAUACAUAUAAUAUAUAUAAUAAUUAAUUUAUAAACGGAAAUACACAUUAAAAAAAUCAAAUAAACUAAAAUAUAACAUCUAUAUAAAAUUAAUUUUUUAAACUGAAAUAAUAAAAUUAAUCAAACUGAAAAUAUAACAUAUAUAUAAUAAUUAAUUUUAUAAACUGAAAUGCACAUUAAAAAAAAAACCAAAUAAACUAAAAUAUAACAUAUAAUAGNNNNNNNNNNNNNNNNNNNNNNNNNNNNAACUUAUACUGAAAUAUAUACUAAAAAAAUAAAUAAAAGGGGUUUGGAAUCAAUCAUUCUCGUAGAAAGACCUUGUUGAAGUUAUAAAUAAAAGGGGUUUGCAAUUUUACAUGAGCCUUGGGGUUUGCUCCCUUUUAAGGUUUCAAGUUCGAAACCCACUAGGUGCAAAUAAUUUUUUAGAGCCAUCGGAUCGGGUAAACCUGAAUUAACCGUGGUGCACUUGCGGGAAACUCCUUGCCGAGGGCCUGUGCACCCCCGGGAUUAUUCGGGGCUCGAAGAGACUCGGACACCCGGUGCAAAUAAAAAAAACAUAUAUAAAUAAUGGAAGAAACAAGGAAAAAGGAAGAAGAUUCAAACCAGCCUGGACGACUGGUCAGAACUCGGAAGAAAAAAGAAAGAAAUAAUAGGAGCAUCUGGACUGGGACAAGAAGAAGAAAGAAAGAAAAAAAUGAGAAGAAGAAAGGGGAAGAAGAAAAUUACCUGGAAACCCUAGUUUUGUCAAUGAAGAAGAGAGAUUGGGUCUCUAUUUUGUCGAGCAAUUACAGAAGCGAGCUUAGGGGUCUGUUUUGUAUAAUUUACAAACAGACCCAAUCUUUGUUUUAGAAAAAGGGCCCAGAUGCGAUUUUUUAACAGAAGCACCGCUUCGUCUCUUUGUUGAGUUUUCCACCGAAGUGUGUGCUUCAGAAGGACGAGUCGCCUCUCUCUGGGAAAAGUGAUGCCUUGUCGCUUCUCCUCGCUUCACGCUUAAAGCGACGAAGCGAUCGCUUUUCCAAACUCUGUACUCAUCUGUUGGUGUUUUUUAUAUUACCACAGCCAACUCAUCAUAGUGAAAACACUUUGAGAAGUAUAUUGAUUUCUGUGUGGUCUCUUUAUUUGGCUUGAUGUGAAAGGUUGUUUCAGCCUGGUUAUUAUAUGAAUAUCUUGAUACUAGCAAGCACAAGAUCAUCAAUAGGUGAGUAGAAUCUCCAGUAGAGGAAAAUAUUGGGAUGUGUUUGCUUGGUGGCACAAUCUUUUCCCCGUUGGAUGUUUUGCUGUAAAUAUCUUGUUUACACUGCUGUCAAAACAAACUUUGGGCUAGAUGUCAUAUGUCUGCACUUCUGUUAUUUGUUUUACAUUUAUCCUGCAGGCAAUCAGCUAUUUGUCUUUAUUAAAUAAUCUCUGACUGGUUUUCUAUUUGUUUAAGCUCUGAUGCAAUCGGAGGGAUUUGAUCUGGCCUGUUAAAUGCAUCUUUGACUGGUUUUUAUCUGUUUUCAGCUGUGAUGCAAUCAGAGGGAUUUGAUCACUUGAAGGAGAGUUGUCCACCUGUCAUCACAGAAUUGCUGAAGUAUGUCGCUGGAAUGAAUGAACAUGCAAUCAUUUCUUAUGUACACGGUGGACACAUUCUAGAUGGCACUGAUGUGAAUGGAAGAAGAGUGAAGCAAAGGAUUUAUUGAGUGCAAGGUUUCCAUAUUUGAUGUUGUGUAGCAAUUUAUAAUGACAUAGUCAUCAAAUUUUUUUAACAGUUCCAAUUGGUAUAGUUAUUGAUUCUAUUACUAGUUCUAUUACCAAAGUGCAUGUAGUCCGUGAAUGCUUUCGUUGGUCACUCGUAUUGUUCUGUUUCUGAGCAAAUACCUAGGGUGGAUGAGGUGCCUGCGAUGUGGUAGGUGCUUAAAUGUUUUCAAUUUAGGACGAAGUCAACAGUUGUGUGAGUCUAAGCAACGGUCAAAUUCUGGUAAAGUGUGAUUUCUUUCUUUCCCUUUUUAUACUGAAGAUUGUAAUAUUGUCAAGUUGAGCAAAUUCGCUCACUGAUCUCGAGUUUGGCGUCCUGUCUGACUCUCAUGUAACGAUUGAUGAUGGAUAUUAUGGUUUUUACUGUUAUUCAAAUAUGAAGUGUUUUGUUC